CGUCGAAGGUGGGGCUGAUGACUGGGGUGAAGUCGUAACAAGGUAUCCGUACCGGAAGGUGCGGAUGGAUCACCUCCUAACAGGGAGACAACACAAUGAUUUUGAUGCCUGAGUACUUUUAUUCUUAGGCCGAAAUCCUGUCACCUUAGGUCGAUCGGUACCUCAGCUUUGAAGUCAAGGAUCAGCAGCAAUGUUGAUUGCUUGAUGGAGAUUUUCAGUUCCUAAACUUUGUCUAGGUCACACCCCAAAAGGGAUGAGACUCCUGGGCCAUUAGCUCAGGUGGUUAGAGCGCACCCCUGAUAAGGGUGAGGUCCCUGGUUCAAGUCCAGGAUGGCCCAUUCGGUGUUGGGGGUUUAGCUCAGUUGGUAGAGCGCCUGCUUUGCAAGCAGGAUGUCAGGAGUUCGAGUCUCCUAACCUCCACUGACCGAACUUGAUUCCCAUCUCCAAUUUUUUGGAGUUGAGCUCGAUUGGAGUGUGAUUUAGAUGUGUCCGCUGGAUGACCCCAGCUUCCUGUCAUUCCAAGUUUUAGGUUAAAGCCUUGAAUUUGGUUGAUAAGAUGCUGGGCUCGGAUCAAAUGAUCAAGCAAUUGAUGAUUUGAUUUGAAGUUCUAGCAGAACCUUGACAACUGCAUAGGUGAGUCUGGAAAAAACAAAGCAUCUUACAGAUGCAUUGUUUUGAAUCUGAUCUUCUGAAAAGGAGAUUGGAUCUAGAACAAUGAAAAUUCUUUUGAGCAAGAGCCGAGACUCUUGAGCGUUCUUUGAUUGGUGUCGAGCCAAUUAAAGUUUGAUCUUGUUUUUAGCAAUAAAAACUUGAGAAUCUGCUUUCAACGGCGGUAAGCGUUCAGGAGGUUAAUUGGUCAAGCUACAAAGGGCUCACGGC
rnacentral:misc_RNA from 1 species